rnacentral:rRNA from 1 species
GUCUGUUUGGAGAUAUAAAAAGUUUAACCUGCCCACUGAAAAAAUAAUUUAAAGGGCCGCGGUAUUCUGACCGUGCAAAGGUAGCAUAAUCGUUAGUUUUUUAAUUGGAAUCUUGUAUGAAUGGUUGGACAAAAGAAAGUCUGUCUCUGUAUUAUUAGUUGAAUUUAACUUUUGAGUGAAAAGGCUUAAAUGAAUUAAAGGGACGAUAAGACCCUAUAAAGCUUAAUAUUAAAAUAUUAUUAGGUUGAAUUUUAUAUAUUAUAAAAAUUUAAUAAUAAAAUUUAUUAUAUUGGGGCGAUAAUAGUAAAAAGAUUAUUAACUGCUUAAUUUUUAAUACAAAUAUAAAUGAAAUAUUAUAAAUGAUCCUAAUUAAAGAUUAAAAGUUUAAGUUACUUUAGGGAUAACAGCGUUAUUUUUUUUGAGAGUUCUUAUCGAAAAAAAAGUUUGCGACCUCGAUGUUGAAUCAAAAUAUCUAUAUAAUUGCAGAAGUUAUAUAAGAAGGUCUGUUCGACCUUUAAAUUUUUACGUGAUUUGAGUUCAGACCGGCGUGAG